UAUUUAACUACAAAAUAGUGAUUAAAAAAGUGAUUAAGAGUUUUAUAUAACCGGUCCCUGAUCUUUAUUGAUGUGUAAAAAGUAAAUCUAUAAAAUUAUUAUCACAUACACAAUACCAAAAUUGGAGUUAGCUUUUUUGAUACACCAUGCCAUGAUUGUAUAACAUGAACGUUCUUAUGCAACACGUUGUAAACCACUGCAAUACACAAUCAUAGAUGACAGGUAUGGCGGAUGAUAGAACAAACGAAAUUUUGCAAAAUAGACAUAAUAUAAACUAAUAUAGCAAUAUACCACAAUGACCUUAUCUAAAACUACUAAAACGAUAUUUGAGAUAUUUUUAAGAACGUAAUCAUUGUAGGUAAACAGUUAGAAUUCAUUCGUUUGCAAAUUGAUCAACCUGCUAACUUAUUAUUAUCGAUUGAAUUGUUGAAGAAGAUAAAUUUAAUUUAAUGAAUUUAUUGAGCAAUCUACCGGGUGGGGCAAAAAAAGUACGACUGUUCAAGUACGACAUUGCU